AGGUAGAUAACCAGUAGUGGGAUUGCUGGAUCAAAUGGUACCUUUUGAUCUUGCAGAAUGGAUCACCCUGCCUCCCUCUCCUUACCAGUAGAUGUCUCCAGUCUCUUCUCUGCUGAUUCACAAUACUUUCUCCAAGAUGGUAAAUUCACAAGUCAACUUUCGAUCCUGUCCUUGAGAGUGGUGUGUGCAAGUACCAGCUGGACCUCUCACCUGGAUGAUGGCAGUUGCCUCCUAGCUGUUUUCUCUGAUUUCACUCCCUACAAGGUUAAAAAAAAAAGGUAACUGAAAUUAUUUAAUUUUCCAGUGUAAAUAUAUCAAUGUCUUUCCAUUAUACUAACAAUAAAAUUCUAAUUUCUUACUAUGGAGUACAAAGCCCAACAUGAUCUGGUUCAUGUAAUUCUGCAGUUCCUUUUAUGUGCUCACUUAUUAUGUUCUAACCGUA